rnacentral:lncRNA from 1 species
CCCAGCAACAAAGAAUGUACCGUAGAUUAGGCCUGGCUUGCAAAACAUUUUUUUUUAAAGAGACACAGCCCAGUCCUUUUAUGGGGUCCUGGAAAAACGGUGGGUGACUGAGUUAAAAAGCACAGAACACCCGCUGUCAACACUCCGUGACCUUCCUUGGCUCAUCAGUUCUCCUAAGGACAAGAACUUUCCGGACUGUGUUUUCUGGUUCUCAUCCUGGCUAUCCGGGUGUUGUUGCCCGACACCUUUGGUAAAGGAAAGGCAAUGCCCAGGUCACCUUCGCUGGAAGCAGCCUCAGCACCCAGACGUUCUCUUCAAGGGGGUCUCUUAUUCCAAGGCCUUUGUGGAUCCAAAGAAACACCUUUUUUCCUCAGAGGCUAGACAUUUCCUUUUAUCCCUCGACUGAUUCUUCAUUUCAGCCAUGUUAGGAAGGCUUCCUUGUCUCAGUUGGAGACUAGGAGCCGCUUCAAAGACAAACAGCUAAAGAACAAAAGCAGGAGAUGGGCCAGCUGGG